rnacentral:lncRNA from 1 species
CUUCUCCCACCUGGCCGAGCUGGCCAGGGGCUCCGAUGGGUGGUCGAUCUCUGUUUUCUCAGGAGGGCAAAUUGAAAGGUAUGGCCCACAUGCAGGGACGGGACCCCGCUUUAUUUCCUGGUCCCUUUCGCCUACGUGAAAGCACUCGCGUGGAGAUCGAAGAGCAGACGCCCCCUGUGGAAUCUUAGCGAUCUUUCUUAUCAAAGACCGGGCUGGCCACCCAGCCAGCCACGGGAUACGGCGUGCUCGACCCUUGUGGGUUCCCUCAUCCACCCAGCAAGCCCUUUGGAGCCUACGGCUGAGCCGGCUCCAGCCGCGCGCAGCGUCCGUCAUUUCGGAAAGAAAGCGACGUGGCUCUACGUUUCAAAUGCUGAACUUCCCACGUGGGUGGCAGUGGCCAGCCUCCCGGGUCCUCGGUGGGUUUCCAUGGUCUUUGAGGUGAUGAUGAAUGAUGACGCAGCGGGUGUGCCAGGGAGACCUUGAGUCAGGGGCCUCGGGACAAGGCAUUUCUAUGCCAUGCUCGUGGGCGAUGUGAGCGUAAUGCCUCUGGUGUUCCACGUGGCCAGACAGACGUGGAACGUGAAAUCCUAAGAGCGCUUGCAAGGAGAGGUUCCAUUCGGCAAAUUGUGUUUCCCCUUGUACUCUGCAGAUCGUGCUGUACGCGAUCGCGGGGGCGUUCGCCGGCGGAGUGGGGAAGUGCUGGUCUGUCCACGUGCGGUGGCCCGCCUACGCGGGCGGGACCACCAGAAGUCACUCCCGAGGAAGACGCGGCCAGGAUCUGGAUUUCGCGCGGGCGAGUUCACUCUUGUCCCUGGAGACCUGACGAGAAGGAAGGCCGUGCCGGAGGUCAUUCUUCCAUCCCGUCCCCUCGGGCCUGCUGCGGGCAUUCCGGUAUCGGUGAGCCGUGUGUUCUGAAGUGUGACUCAGUUUCCUCGGGGCACCGUGAACUCCUAGUGACAGGGAGAGCCCGGCAAUUUUGGUUCCUCUCGAGGCUGGCGCCUGGUUGCGUAGAUCGCCACUAG